UAUAAAGGGUGUUAUUGCACGUUAGCUUUUGGAGCUAGAAGACUAUUUUGUAG
rnacentral:tRNA from 1 species